rnacentral:lncRNA from 1 species
UUGUCUUUUCCUACAAUUAACAUGUCAUCCACAUACAACAACAAUAUAAUAAAGUUAUUCUCAGAAAAUAUUUUGAAGUAUACACAUGGAUCAAAAUAGGUGUUUAGGUAUGUUUGACUUUUCAUGAAUGAGUCAAACUUCAUGUACCACUGCCUUGGUGCCUACUUCAAUCCAUAAAGACUCUUAUUCAAUUUGCACACCAUGUGUUUCUUUCCAGCUACUUCAAAUCCUUUUGGCUGCUCCAUAUAAAUCUCUUCUUCCAAAUCUCCAUGAAGAAAUGCAGUUUUCACAUCCAACUGUUCCACUUCAAGAUCUAGGCUAGCUGCUAAGCUCAAAAUUGUUCGAAUAGAAGUCAUUUUGACAACAGGUGAG